UACGAAGGGGGCUAGCGUUGUUCGGAAUUACUGGGCGUAAAGCGCACGUAGGCGGCCUGUUAAGUCAGGGGUGAAAUCCCGGGGCUCAACCCCGGAACUGCCUUUGAUACUGGCAUUCUCGAGUCCGGAAGAGGUGAGUGGAAUUCCGAGUGUAGAGGUGAAAUUCGUAGAUAUUCGGAGGAACACCAGUGGCGAAGGCGGCUCACUGGUCCGGUACUGACGCUGAGGUGCGAAAGCGUGGGGAGCAAACAGG
rnacentral:rRNA from 1 species